GGCCGUUCCUCUUCUGUUGGUGGUGGUGCAAGGAAAUUAGGUUUAGGAGUAGCAGGCAUUGGUGGUGCUAUCUCGACAGAUUCAUUGGGUUGUGGUAUCUCUGCAGGCAUGAAUGGAGUUGUCUGAACAGGAGCUUGAGUCGGAACAUCCAUCUUAUUUUUGAAUGUCAAAAAACCGAUUUAGUUGAUCAGAGUAUAAUUUGCUUUUUUCCAUUGCGCUAAGCUGUGGUGUAUCCAUGAUUUCUUUCAUUCUCUGUUCGGCAUCAUACAUGGCAUUUACAAGUGGUGGUUGACGAUACGACUGUUUGUGUAAAAACUUUGCAAUCUCGCCGGAAGUACGUUUGUCUUGAGUCGUUGUUGAUCAUCUGUUGUCGGCUUUAAAUCCAACAUCAAAUAUCCGUGAGGCCGGCUCGUAGCAUCUUCAUAACUCCUCAUAAACUCUUGUACUUUGCCGGGAUUUAUUUGCCUUGCAAGUAUAGAAAUUUGUUGUUUAUCUCUUGGUGACUUGAACAAUAAGAUAUAACGCGCGUUUAGACUAAUAUUUCUCAUUUCUUUGCCUUGAUG